UACGGAGGGUGCAAGCGUUAAUCGGAAUUACUGGGCGUAAAGGGUUCGUAGGUUGUUUGAUAAGUUAUCUGUGAAAUCCCUGGGCUCAACCUGGGCAGGUCAGAUAAUACUGUUAGACUCGAGUAUGGGAGAGGGUAGUGGAAUUUCCGGUGUAGCGGUGAAAUGCGUAGAGAUCGGAAGGAACACCAGUGGCGAAGGCGGCUACCUGGCCUAAUACUGACACUGAGGAACGAAAGCGUGGGGAGCAAACAGG
rnacentral:rRNA from 1 species